rnacentral:rRNA from 1 species
AUGAACGCUGGCGGCGUGCCUAAUCCAUGCAAGUCGAGCGAACAGAUGAGGAGCUUGCUCCUCUGACGUUAGCGGCGGACGGGUGAGUAACACGUGGAUAACCUACCUAUAAGACUGGGAUAACUUCGGGAAACCGGAGCUAAUACCGGAUAAUAUAUUGAACCGCAUGGUUCAAUAGUGAAAGACGGUUUUGCUGUCACUUAUAGAUGGAUCCGCGCCGCAUUAGCUAGUUGGUAAGGUAACGGCUUACCAAGGCAACGAUGCGUAGCCGACCUGAGAGGGUGAUCGGCCACACUGGAACUGAGACACGGUCCAGACUCCUACGGGAGGCAGCAGUAGGGAAUCUUCCGCAAUGGGCGAAAGCCUGACGGAGCAACGCCGCGUGAGUGAUGAAGGUCUUCGGAUCGUAAAACUCUGUUAUUAGGGAAGAACAGAUGUGUAAGUAACUAUGCACGUCUUGACGGUACCUAAUCAGAAAGCCACGGCUAACUACGUG